rnacentral:rRNA from 1 species
CCGCAUAAUAUUAAUUAUUGCAUGAUAAUUGAUUCGAAAAGAUGCAAGCGCAUCACUAGUAGAUGGACCUGCGUUGUAUUAGCUAGUUGGUAAGGUAAGAGCUUACCAAGGCGACGAUACAUAGCCGACCUGAGAGGGUGAUCGGCCACACUGGGACUGAGACACGGCCCAGACUCCUACGGGAGGCAGCAGUAGGGAAUCCUCGGCAAUGGACGAAAGUCUGACCGAGCAACGCCGCGUGAGUGAAGAAGGUUUUCGGAUCGUAAAGCUCUGUUUGUAAGUCAAGAACGUGUGUGAGAGUG